rnacentral:pre_miRNA from 1 species
CUUGUACUCCCUCCGUCCAAAAAUACUUGUCAUUGAAAUGGAUGUAUCUAGAUGUAUUUUAGUUCUAGACACAUCCAUUUNUGGAUGUAUCUAGAUGUAUUUUAGUUCUAGACACAUCCAUUUUGAUGACAAGUAAUUCCGGACGGAGGGAGUACUUG